AUUGAACGCUGGCGGCAGGCCUAACACAUGCAAGUCGAGCGGAUGAAGGGAGCUUGCUCCUGGAUUCAGCGGCGGACGGGUGAGUAAUGCCUAGGAAUCUGCCUGGUAGUGGGGGAUAACGUCCGGAAACGGGCGCUAAUACCGCAUACGUCCUGAGGGAGAAAGUGGGGGAUCUUCGGACCUCACGCUAUCAGAUGAGCCUAGGUCGGAUUAGCUAGUUGGUGGGGUAAAGGCCUACCAAGGCGACGAUCCGUAACUGGUCUGAGAGGAUGAUCAGUCACACUGGAACUGAGACACGGUCCAGACUCCGACGGGAGGAAGCAGUCGGGAAUAUUAGAGGAUGGACGAAAGGCGGAUCCAGGAAUGCCGCGUGUGUGAAGAAGGACUUCGGAUUGGAGAGCGAUUUAGGUUUGGGGGAAGUAAAGUACGUUAAUACCUGACUGUAUUGACGUUACCGGCAGAAUAAGCACCGGCUAACUUCGUG
rnacentral:rRNA from 1 species